rnacentral:rRNA from 1 species
AUGCCGCUUGAUAAUGAUACGUACGAUGUUAAGAUGCCAUUGCUUGAGGGCAAGGCUUGGGCAGGCUCAAAUGGAGAUUGGGUUGUUUAUACUGGGUACAACUGCGAGUGGGAACUUGUGAAUGUGUACACUCGUCACCGGGUACCACUUCCAAAAAUCUCAGACUGCUGCCCAGAGGUUGAGUGCACCGGUAUUCUACGUGAGUUCAAAUACGAUCAUGGUGACUGUCAUCUAAGGAAGAUAGCAAUUUGUCGAGUUCCCAACUGCUCUUGGGAUUACACGAACUAUGAAGUUGUUGCUAUCUUCGACAAGCUUGUUGCCGUCCUUACUUCCAUGCCUCGAUGGAUAUUGCUCAAAAAUCAAUUUCUGUACACGGAUGAGUACUAUGAUGCAAUUCAAUACGAGGGUCUUGUGUUUGCUGCCACCACUUGUGGCACUGUUUUUGCAUGGAAUCCUGAUGCUUUCGGUCCUGUGAACAUUCCACCAUCUAUACUUGAAAAAUUUAUAACCAAGGGGGAGAUGACGAUGCUGAUGAUCACGAGCAUGAGGACGAGCAGGACCCAUAUACUCAGUGGCGCCUGGCAACUUUUUCUGAUGGAUCACCUCUUCUUGUCUGUAUACAGGGCACUGCCGAUGUUACUAAGGAAGCAGGUGUUGUUUCGCAUGGUUGCACUCUCUGGACCUAUUCCAACAUCUAUUGCAGGGUAUUCCGGAUGGAUACUAGUGUACUAG